rnacentral:misc_RNA from 1 species
UCUCCGUUGGUGAACCAGCGGAGGGAUCAUUACAGAGUUGCAAAACUCCCAAACCCUUGUGAACAUACCCGUCGCAGUUGCUUCGGUGGGCGGCCCCAGGGCGGGGCCGCAGCCUCUUCUCACGAGGCGCCCGCCGGAGGUAUAUAACUCUUUGUAUUAUGGUCUCCCUGAGUAAAUUUAUAAUAAGUCAAAACUUUUAACAACGGAUCUCUUGGUUCUG